rnacentral:rRNA from 1 species
GACGAACGCUGGCGGCGUGCUUAACACAUGCAAGUCGAACGAAGAGCGAUGGAAGCUUGCUUCUAUCAAUCUUAGUGGCGAACGGGUGAGUAACGCGUAAUCAACCUGCCCUUCAGAGGGGGACAACAGUUGGAAACGACUGCUAAUACCGCAUACGAUCUAACCUCGGCAUCGAGGAAAGAUGAAAGGUGGCCUCUAUUUAUAAGCUAUCACUGAAGGAGGGGAUUGCGUCUGAUUAGCUAGUUGGAGGGGUAACGGCCCACCAAGGCGAUGAUCAGUAGCCGGUCUGAGAGGAUGAACGGCCACAUUGGGACUGAGACACGGCCCAGACUCCUACGGGAGGCAGCAGUGGGGAAUCUUCCGCAAUGGACGAAAGUCUGACGGAGCAACGCCGCGUGAGUGAUGACGGCCUUCGGGUUGUAAAGCUCUGUUAAUCGGGACGAAAGGCUUCUUGCGAAUAGUGAGAAGGAUUGACGGUACCGGAAUAGAAAGCCACGGCUAA